rnacentral:rRNA from 1 species
GAUGAACGCUGGCGGCGUGCCUAAUACAUGCAAGUCGAGCGAACAGACGCGGAGCUUGCUUCUCUGACGUUAGCGGCGGACGGGUGAGUAACACGUGGAUAACCUACCUAUAAGACUGGGAUAACUUCGGGAAACCGGAGCUAAUACCGGAUAAUAUCUUGAACCGCAUUGUUCCAUAGUGAAAGACGGUUUUGCUGUCACUUAUAAGUGGAUCCGCGGCUGAUUAGCUAGUUGGUAAGUUAACGGCUUACUAAGGCUACGAUGCGUAUUCGACCUGAGAGGGUGAUCAGCCACACUGGAACGUAGACACGGUCCAGGCUCCUGCGGGAGGGAACAGAAUGGAAUCUUCCGCAAUGGGCGAAAACCUGCUGCAGCAACGCCACGUGAAUAAUGAAGGUGUUCGGAUCGUAAAACGCUGUUAUUAGGGGAGAAUAAAUGUGUAGAUGACUGUGAACGUCUUGACGGUACCUAAUCAUAAAGCCACGGCUAACUACGUG